rnacentral:misc_RNA from 1 species
UCUGGUAUCAGCUCAUCCCAACAGCGAUACUCACUCCCAUCGGCCAUAUAUUCUGCCUGGAAGAAAAAGGAGCUAUUUUUCCCUCUUAGAAGCUUUCUUUGUUUCUUUGGGAUUUGGAUUCAGAAACCGAGUCACCGGUUUAUCCGCCACAAACGUAGGGGAAAAAGNAAAGAAGAAACAGAGACAGAGAAGGAGGUGAGGGCGAGAGGUAAAAAGAGAGAGAGAGAGCUACAAAAUUAGUAGUGCCCCAUCUACCCACUCAACUAAACUGCAUCAAUGCGAAACAGAACAAGAACCCAAGGGUAAAAACAAAGAGGAGUGAAAAAGCGAAAGUUGACG